GAGGGCAAGCCAAUCCCAGAAACCCUAUCUCAGUCCGGAUUGGAGUCUGCAACUCGACUCCAUGAAGUCGGAAUCGCUAGUAAUCGCAGAUCAGCAUUGCUGCGGUGAAUACGUUCCCGGGCCUUGUACACACCGCCCGUCACACCAUGGGAGUUUGUUGCACCAGAAGCAGGUAGCUUAACCUUCGGGAGGGCGCUUGCCACGGUGUGGCCGAUGACUGGGGUGAAGUCGUAACAAGGUAGCCGUAUCGGAAGGUGCGGCUGGAUCACCUCCUUU
rnacentral:rRNA from 1 species